CUCUUUAUGAGCCUGCUCGCCUGUUCAGCUCUUGGACGGAAAAGCCUUUGUCAUUCUAUCUCCAGGGCCCGGCAGACUGUCAGAUAUGUAACAAAUUCCAUGAGAGGUUAUAUUGAAACAUAUAAGAAAAAUAGAUGGAAUCAAAUUUGGAAAUACCUAGGAUCUUCUGACCUCUGGUGA